AAUUGUAUAGUUAUAAAUUCUAAAUAACUUAUGAAAGUAUCAGAUAUAAAUACUAAAUUUGUGUUAGUUAAAACUCAUCUUGCAAAAUGACGAUGUUCCGAUUUCCUUUUCAAGUUCUAAUUAUAGACCAAGCAUUUUAAUUCAUUUUCCCCUUAUAUUUUCUUUAGAACCCCUUUAUAACUUAUUUAUUUAUUUAUUGUUAUUUUUUCAAUUACAGAAACAAAACAAAUACUUAUUACAGCAACAUUUCCCACCAAAGAUUGAAAAAUAAAACAAAUAGUAUUACAAUAAUCUCUUUUAUUUUAAUAAUUAAUUUAACAAAAAUAAUUAACAGAUAGAAAAACCUCCAGCGACAACAUUUCCCACCGAGUUUUUAUUUUGUCAAAAGCUUCCCACCAUGUUUCAAAAACAAAACAAAAAAUCUUCCCACCAUUCCCACGAAAAAUUCCAAAUAUUACGACAACUUAUUUGAUAUUUCGCUCCAAAAUCACAAAAAUCCUCUAGAAAUUACACCAGCAGUUUUCAUACCUCUUUGAAUUCUCCCAUUGAUGUGAAUAAUCAAUGGUUCCGCCAGUAUACUAUCCUCGACAUGCCGUGAACCGCCAUAAAAUUGCCAUUGUUGUGCUCGCACCCGCCGCGCUCGGAAGUCAUCUCCGUAGGUAUGAUUCCUCCAAAAUCACCCAUAUGAUAGGAUGCUUACUUUUCUCAUGCUGAUGUGCUCUAUAAAAUUCUGAUAAUUUAAGUUCAAUUAGUUUUUAAUUGCUGGUCUUCUUCUUGUCAACCAUCAAUUUCGACGGUGAAAGGUAAGACUUUGAUAGGGCUCUACUAUUCUCAUUUAUCCGAUUUUGAUUGAAUAUAUGAUAUUUUCAAUUCAAUCUGCUAGGUUUUUGAAUUGCCUAUAUACUUUCGUUCAGGCAUAAAUUCGAGGGCACCGACGCGGCGAUGUAAGGUACUCAAUCUUGCUUAUACAACUACUUUGUCAUCAAGCACAUACAACUCAGCCGCUCUAUAAAGAGCGCUCUACAAAGAGUGAAGUAAGCAUUGAAAAUUAAUUUUAAACCACGUUGGACCACUAAUAUUUUAUGGCAUGAUACAAUGUAAUAUUAGAUGACAACUUUUCUUGAUGUAGUUGCAGGGUAUGGCUACUAAAUCCGAAGGCGUAAAUAGAGCAACUUGAGCUUAUCAACGAAUAUAUAUUAUAUGUUAUUUUUUACCUCCCCCCCUGUUUUGAUUCUUUUGUUAGAUCUUUUCUAUUUAGUGCAAAUAUACUUCUAUGCAUCUAUUUCCACCUCUAAGAGUGUCAUUUGCUAAUUCAUCUCGCUUAAAGGCAUUUGAAUAAGCUGCCAUGUGAACAUCCGUUUAUUUGACGAUUGAGUUUGAAAUUGUUAAUUGUUUGCACCUGCUGUCAUUGGAUGCACGUUGAAAGGGCUUGUUAGCCUCAAGUAGAUGGCUAUAGUUUGCAUGCGAUCUUGAUUAUAUAGUUUCUCAUUGAAAGGGCUUGUUAGCCUCAGGAGGACGAAGUGAGAGUCUGUUGAGUGCUCUGCAGUUUGAUGGUGUUUCUUUAAAUUGUUGUUUACGAAUCUAACCAUAACUUCUUUUUCUUUGCAGUUACAUGAUCAGCGUCAAGCAUCUAAAGCUGAGGGUCCAAACUCAUUAAAUAAAGAAAGUGUUCUAAUGUCGAAUUAUCCGCAAAUGCUAUUGUGUUUGAUCCAUCACGUAUAUUACCCAAAGAUCAGGAUAAAGGAAGCUUCUUCGACGAGUUAUCAGAAGGUACAGGUCCUGAAGCACAAGAUGCACUAGUCUCUGUUCUUCGGAUCAGUAGUUCUGCAUCAUUUGUUUCUGCUCAUGGAAGAGGUACUUCAACUUCUGAUGGCCGUGGAUUGUCUCCUAGUUCAUCUGUUGAUUCAUUGUCUUCAAAGAAGUCAACACUUAAUCCACAUGCUAAUUAAGGAAUUUAAAUUAAAUGCAAAUGCUAAGAGCUCCGUCCCAUUUCAGAUGUAUAGGCCAUCGUCAGUUGUUGCAGAUAUUUCCUUCAAGUUUUUCUACAUGGGAGAUUUCUGCUAAUGUUAGAAAUUUCAAGGAAAUUUAUGUUUUAGCUAUAACUUGUGAUUACUCCAAUUUUUCCCUAGAGUAUGAUUCAGUUAUUACUUUGUUAAUAGUUAGUUGUGUCAAGCACUUUGACUUUUAAUUGUAAUUUUAAAUAAUUUCAUAUUAUAAAAAGUAGAAUAUAUUUAUUUAGAUA